ACCAGACCCCUUUAGGGUUUCCUUAACCCUCAUACGCCGCCGCUCAGCCUCGGCCAAGGCUCCGAUUGUGACGGAGAUGGCGCCGACUCGACGAAUCCGGCGAGAGAGGUACGUGCUUGAGGAGCGGCGUUUGCGGAGGUGUGGCGUGCGUAGAGGGCAGUAGUUGCGGCGCAAGCUGCUCUAGGGUUUCUGAUUUGGCUGAAAAUUGGUUAAGCUUUGGGCUUGUUGGGCUGUCAUUAUUUUGGGCCUGUAAUUAGGGUUAAUUUUUUUUGGGCCCGAGCAUAUUUGGGCUUGUACACUAGUACUUAAGCGACUAAUUUUGCUA